AGAGUUUGAUCCUGGCUCAGAUUGAACGCUGGCGGCAUGCCUUACACAUGCAAGUCGAACGGCAGCACGGGAGCAAUCCUGGUGGCGAGUGGCGAACGGGUGAGUAAUACAUCGGAACGUGUCCUGGAGUGGGGGAUAGCCCGGCGAAAGCCGGAUUAAUACCGCAUACGCUCUAUGGAGGAAAGCGGGGGAUCUUUCGGGACCUCGCGCUCAAGGGGCGGCCGAUGGCAGAUUAGCUAGUUGGUGGGGUAAAGGCCUACCAAGGCGACGAUCUGUAGCUGGUCUGAGAGGACGACCAGCCACACUGGGACUGAGACACGGCCCAGACUCCUACGGGAGGCAGCAGUGGGGAAUUUUGGACAAUGGGCGCAAGCCUGAUCCAGCAAUGCCGCGUGUGUGAAGAAGGCCUUCGGGUUGUAAAGCACUUUUGUCCGGAAAGAAAACCUCUGGGUUAAUACCCCGGGGGGAUGACGUACC
rnacentral:rRNA from 2 species